CAGUCUUUUUUGUUAUUAUUAAUUUUGGCACUUUUGAAUUGAAGACAUGACUUUUGACCAAUGAAUGAGAGAGAAGCAGGUUUUCACUUCAAAAGUGAGCACGUGAUUAUUUCAUGGACGUUUUGAUACCACUUGCUGUUGUCAAGUGUUGGUCACCAUUGGGUCACAUUCUUUCAGAAAGUUUGUUAUAUCUGAUC